rnacentral:lncRNA from 1 species
ACUGCAGAGUAGUCUUCAUAGUCACGAUGCGCUGUGCUGAGGCUGCUGCUUAGAAAGGUGGGGCUUCUUCUCCCUGCUUACCCACGUGUCUGGCUGAUCUCUCAGCUCAGCUGCAGGAGCUUGUUGGUCCUGAAGAGUGGUCUGUCUUUAUUUGCUGAUACUUAAACUUUCCUUCUUGAAAACUGAAUCACUGCUAUUUGGUGCACAUUUUCACCCAGUCUGAGUGCCACCUUACAUCUUUCAUUCUGCAUCUUGAGAAUUCUGUUUUACAGUCAGAGGUGACAACUAGAUCAGAGCAUUGACUGCUCCCAAUUUCGCUUUUACAAAAGAGAGCAAAGGAAGUGGUGAUGUUAGGUUUGGGGGUGAUGAUAAAGUCAGAGAGGGGAACUCCCACUGAAGCCCACAUUAUGAAAAGAGCUGAACCAACUUGUACUCUUGAUCUCCCCUUAAAAGCUGGUUUUGUACCUGAAUGGAGAGAAGUGCAGAUAUUAGAGACCUGGCUGAUGUCUGGUGCUUCAUUGCCCUGAAUAGACAGAAAAAUGCAGACCCUUGGGAAGCAAAGUGCUUGACAGAGCUGAAAGUGAACAGCAGAGGCUGGGAGGAAGCAGGACCAAACAAAUCCAGAAAUCCUCCAAGGCUGUAGCCCUAGGCCCAGCAGGUGGUGGUCAGGACAAAGUAGGAGCAUGUACAGUGUUGAGAUCAGAGUCUUGGGAAAGCACCUGUUACAGGUCAGAGUGAAGGAUGAUCCCAGAAACAAGUCAGACAAGAGGCAGGUGAGACAGCCAGCAAAGAAAGACACAUGAAGCAAAUGGAGCCACACGUGAUGAUCAUACUGAUCUCUGCUAAAUCAAGCUACAGCACACAGGAGUCCCAAAGCUUGCUGGGCCUUCUCUCACCUGCAUGUUCACUCUUAUUAAAUUAUGAUGAGCCCUCUGACAAACUGUCAUAUUUGAAGGACCUUUUACCAGAGAAGAGGAGGGGGAGGAAGAGAGAAAUCAAAAAAGAUAAGCAAAAGGGCUGGGCUUGCUGUGUGAUCACAGAUAAAAUACCAAACAGUUAAAUAAUGCUGGAGGGUGACCUCUUAUGUGACCCAAUCAGAGAUUUGACAUUUAUCUCCUGAAUGUGACAUCCCAUCUCAUCAAGGAUUUGGGACAGUGGGGAUGAGGAGACACGUUCUCUCUCCCUUUCCUUGCUCAGCCUUGUUCUCUCUGUUUACUCUUUGGGCUUCAGUGCACUUUUGUGGCCAAGCCCAGUUUGUGGCCUGCCCCUUGCAUGGCCAUCUCUGCAGUAUCAGUGAAAACUCAACAGCCCCUCUGUGUGGCCACACUUUUUUUCUUUUCUAAAAACAAUGAGAUACUUAUAUCCACCCCAUGCAAAUUCCUCCAGGAUAUUGCUCUUGAGUCAUCCUUGAGAAAUUUCCGUCUUGAAACAUGUCUAUCUCCAUGUUGGGAAAUUUAAUUAGUACUCCUAUUGUAGGGAUUAGGGAAAGCACAACUACACUUUUCAUCAGCUUCAAUGAUUUCACCAAAGGGCAUUUAUUUACUUAGUUAUACCAGCUGUUUGUUCACCAGAUACCGUCUCCUUUGACCCUAUGUGCACACAAACCCACGCACAGCGGAUGUUGACUAUGAGAACUGAUAAUAUCACACCCAUUUUAGAUACAUCAUUGAGGCAAAAAGGGACAUUUAUGGGAGAUAUUUUUCUUUUUGUUGUGGAAAUUCUGACAAUCUCAUUUUAUUUUCUCAUUCAAAUUAUUAAAUGAUUCUCUCUCUCUCUCUCUCUGCUUACAUAGGGGUCAUCAUUUGUUCUUUUAAUCCAUUUCAAGAGCAUGUCCCCUUUUGCCGUAUUCAGGGAUGAUUGCCCCCUACCUGAACCCCAUCUUGCUCCAACAAACAAGUCAUAUAAUCAGAGAUCGCACUCUUAGUCAAAAGUCUGACCAGUUAAAGAAUUAAUUGCCUGCGCCAGGGAGUAUGGAAAGCAAAAAAGAAACUCUGUUAUGAUUUCUAUAGAUGGAAGGAGAAAUGCACUAUUUGAAUGAUAGAGUUUAAUUGUCAUUAUCUAGAAAAGAUACUUCAUUUAAACUUCUCCUUUACUUAAAAUAAACACCUCAAUGCUCACAUUCCUGCCUGGAACAUUUUUAGCAAUAACUGCUGGUUGUCAAUGACAACAAUCAUAUUUAAUUGUUCAUCCUGACAUGCUCCAGCACUCUAUUAAGCACAGAUUACUAUAGAUUGAAUAAAUGAAUAGCAAAGAUGCUGGCCAAGAGCUCUGAACGUAUCAGUGGAAAUAAUGAAUUGCAUCAUCCUUCCAUGAAAAUGCAGGAAGGGCCAACACAGGUCAAGAGCUUGUUAGAGUUUCAGGUUGUCCAUUUUGACUGAAUUAAAAAGAAAGCAAGUUUAUUAUGGAUUAUACAUGUAAGCAGGGAGAGGAUGAAGGUCAAAUUUCUUGAUUAGGUAUUAUUUAGCUAUUUUACCAUAUCUCAAAGUUAUAAUUCAGAAAUGAAAUGAAGUGUAUCUUGUUUCUUAUAUGAAUUUUUAAAAGGUACACAGUAGAUAGUCUUACUGAAUUUUAGUUUAAUUGCACUUUCAUCUCAAUAUUAUUAUUUUAUCAAGCCAGAUAAGUAAAUAAUAUCCUUUCAUCAGGUAUCAGAGCACAGUUGUAAUAUAAAUGGGAUUAGCAUAAUGAAUGCCUUUGGAGAAAAUUAUAAAAUGUCCUUUCAUGCACAUACAGUUUUAUAAACAUGACUUUCCUUUGUUUUAAUUCAAUCUCUGAUGGAAAUGCACAAAUUUUAAAAUUCUGGGAAGAACAAACUUAUCUGAUCAUUUUUAAGUAAUUGAUAGAUCACAGUAGAAUUAUGUUUUUCUUUUAAGUGAUGAGGAUAGAAAAUUUGAGUUGUUUAAUUAGACAUGUGACUGAACCCAGACGUAAGGGGAUCACUUUGGUGCCCUGGAAAGUACUUUGUACUGAAUGGGGAAGUCCAGAUAUCAUAUUCUGGUGUUGGGCUAAAUACUAAUUACAAAACCAUCAGACAAAAUUAUUGUUAUUAUUAUUUUGCAGCAAGUGACUGUUAACAUUGAAUGUGUGUUAUCAACUUAAAAGUCUAUUCUUUCUUGAAAAUAUGUGUCAUAAAUAUUUUCUCCUCAAAGAAUAAACACACCUUUUAUAAAUGAGUUGAUUUAUUACUGAACUAUCUAUUUAUGACAGCAUGCUUCUUCCAUUUAUCCAAUAAUUAUUUGGUUAACAAUCACAUUUCAUAGGCUUAAUGUUUUAUAAUUGUUUUGGUAAACCUCCUGAAUAUCUCUAUGUGUACAGAAAGCAGGGAAUGGGCAUUUUAAG